CAGGCCUAACACAUGCAAGUCGAGCGCCGUAGCAAUACGGAGCGGCAGACGGGAGAGUAACACGUGGGAACGUGCCCUUCAGUCCGGAACAACCCAGGGAAACUUGGGCUAAUACCGGAUACGUCCGUAAGGAGAAAGAUUUAUCGCUGAAGGAUCGGCCCGCGUCUGAUUAGCUAGUUGGUGGGGUAACGGCCCACCAAGGCGACGAUCAGUAGCUGGUCUGAGAGGAUGAUCAGCCUCACUGGGACUGAGACACGGCCCAGACUCCUACGGGAGGCAGCAGUGGGGAAUAUUGGACAAUGGGCGCAAGCCUGAUCCAGCCAUGCCGCGUGGGUGAUGAAGGCCCUAGGGUUGUAAAGCCCUUUCGGCGGGGAAGAUAAUGACGGUACCCGCAGAAGAAGCCCCGGCUAACUUCGUGCCAGCAGCCGCGGUAAUACA
rnacentral:rRNA from 1 species